rnacentral:rRNA from 1 species
GAUGAACGCUGACAGAAUGCUUAACACAUGCAAGUCAACUUGAACUUCGGUUUGGGUGGCGGACGGGUGAGUAACGCGUAAAGAACUUGCCUCACAGAUAGGGACAACAUUUGGAAACGAAUGCUAAUACCUGAUAUUAUGAUUUUAGGGCAUCCUGGGAUUAUGAAAGCUAUAUGCACUGUGAGAGAGCUUUGCGUCCCAUUAGCUAGUUGGAGAGGUAACGGCUCACCAAGGCGAUGAUGGGUAGCCGGCCUGAGAGGGUGAUCGGCCACAAGGGGACUGAGACACGGCCCUUACUCCUACGGGAGGCAGCAGUGGGGAAUAUUGGACAAUGGACCAAGAGUCUGGUCCAGCAAUUCUGUGUGCACGAUGAAGGUUUUCGGAAUGUAAAGUGCUUUCAGUUGGGAAGAAAAAAAUGACGGUACCAACAGAAGAAGUGACGGCUAAAUACGUGCCAGCAGCCGCGGUAAUACGUAUGCCACAAGCGUUAUCCGGAUUUAUUGGGCGUAAAGCGCGUCUAGGUGGUUAUGUAAGUCUGAUGUGAAAAUGCAGGGCUCAACUCUGUAUUGCGUUGGAAACUGUGUAACUAGAGUACUGGAGAGGUAAGCGGAACUACAAGUGUAGAGGUGAAAUUCGUAGAUAUUUGUAGGAAUGCCGAUGGGGAAGCCAGCUUACUGGACAGAUACUGACGCUGAAGCGCGAAAGCGUGGGUAGCAAACAGG